AUUGAACGCUGGCGGCAGGCCUAACACAUGCAAGUCGAACGAGUGGCGGACGGGUGAGUAAUGUAUCGGAACGUGCGCGGGGGAGGGGGAUAACUACUGGAAACGGUGGCUAAUACCGCAUACUAUAGGAGAGGCCGAUAUCGGAUUAGCUAGUGGGGGGGGUAAAGGCUUACCAAGGCCACGAUCCGUAGCUGGUCUGAGAGGAAGACCAGCCACACUGGAACUGAGACACGGUCCAGACUCCUACGGGAGGCAGCAGUGGGGAAUAUUGGACAAUGGGGGAAAGCCUGAUCCAGCCAUGCCGCGUGUAUGAAGAAGGCCUUCGGGUUGUAAAGUACUUUCGGCUGGGAGGCGUUACCUGCAGAAUAAGCACCGGCUAACUACGUGCCAGCAGCCGCGGUAAUUC
rnacentral:rRNA from 1 species